rnacentral:sRNA from 1 species
GAUACCUUGAUUUAAAAAGACAACUAUGCAGCCAAAUGAAAGCUGCAGGCCAAGCCUCAGGCUGGCGCCUGUUGGAUGAGGCUUUGUACACCAGGACCCACAUUGCUCCGACUUGAUAUGACCUUCCCACUGAGACUCAGUACAGCCAAACUGGGGAAAAGACAGUCAUUCCAAGUGGUACAUUUCCUUUGAUGGUUACUCCAGCACCUGAGAGAGCCUUGGAGCCUCUGUUUACACUGCAGCUGAGCUGAGUGAGCAAAAACGCCGUAGCCUAGAUUGUUCUUCAGCCUCAACUGGCGUAAAUUAGCCAGCUGUCUAAGUAGUGAGGGUGUUUGUGGAUGCUAAACACUGCUGUCUACUUCUGAGGACACUCACUAGGAAUGGGAAGAUGGCCCUGUGAACAUACAGCUCUCAGGGUGUCUGUCUGGGAUGACCAAUGCCAGUUCCUGGUCUGACUCAGGUAUGGGAUGGCCUCUAUUCCACUUGUACUGGGAGAACGACACUUAUUGAGUCUUAACUGAUGUAGUGAUGAGACUGUCAAUUGGUGAUUUAGACAGUAGUCAAUGUCCUGUUGCGUCAUUCCUUCAUUUUUGAUAAUGAAUAGAGGCAGUUAGUUUUCAGAUUUUUAGGAUCACAGACACCCCUAAGGGUUACUGUAUCCAACCUCUUUCAUCUGCGGAACAUGAGCUGCCCAUGGGGAGAAGUUCCAACCCCUGAGAGGAAGUUUGCUUUUCUUUUUCAGGUUACCAAAGGCAGUUGUUAGGAUGUGCAAAGAUGUGCAGUUGUCUGUCUGUGGUGGCAUAGAUGUGUACCAGGCUCUUCCCCCACAAUUCUGUCUCCCUCUGGGUCUGUGAAACCAUUUUCUCAUACUUUGGCCUGUGUCUUUUCCAAGGCUACCUUGGAGAACUUUCAAUUCAGUUGUCCACUAAAGUAAAUUUGGAUUCUGACAGGGAGGGAAGAGUGGCAGAGUCACCACGUUUGGAUAGAUUUGUUUCCCUUUGAAUUGAGAAGGAAGGCAAGAGUGAGAAGGAGCCAGUGAUUAUUAGCCUGAGUUUCUGCUCAAUUUGUGGAAGGACGUUUAGAAUUGCCAACUCAAGGAAGCUCUGGGCCAGAAGUAAUGCUUCUGUCUGAUAAGUCACAUGGCCCUGUAUGGAGGUGUUGAUAUGGUUUAAGAAAUACUAAACUUACAGCCUGGUGCUCUGGGUUUGUCCAUUAUUAGCUGUGUGACUAGCAAGUCACAAUCUCACUUGAGGCGCUGUUUCCUCCUCUGUCAAGUGUGGAUACUAAUGCUUGUCUGGAUCACCUCAUGGAGUUAUUCUAAAACACAACAGGAUAUACUAAUCUGUGUUAUGUGACAGGAGUGUUGGAUAUGAAGUUACACAUCAAAGUCAAAUGUCCCAUCUCCUAAGUUCAACACAAUGAAUUAAUUUUUUCCAGUCUGUGACAGGUCCCAUUGACUCUCUGAUUGAAGGGUAGAUGAAGAAUUCGAUUCUCAUUUAGAGGAUGUGCCCUACAAAACAAAGCUAUUGCUAUUGUCUUUCUACCACCUUGUGUGCUUGUGAAUUUGGGUUCUCAUGUUAAAUGUAUACUUGUGACAAAUGAUUUGAAAAAAGAAAAGCUGAUCAAAGGCCUCUACAAAUAAGAGAUGAACCUGUGAGGCGAAGAGCAAGAGAGUAGCCAGAAAGGUUCCCUGAGCCCUGAAUGGAGGGAUUUGAUGGAGGAAUCUUGUUUAGGGCCGACUCAUUAGACAUUCUUUAAAAGCAAUUUUGAGACAGUGUUUCCUGUGGCCCAGGCUGGCUUUGAACUCACCAUGUGGUCAAAGCUGACACUAAACUUCUGACAGUCCUGCUGGGAUUAGUGGCAUGUAAUUCUUCAUUUUUCAUUUUAAAGACACAGCUUUGUCUCUGCUUCACUGUGGGAACAGCCUUGCGUGGAAGUCCACAGCCAAUCCUGGCUUUGGCCCUUGGUAGCACCAGCCAGAGAUCAGAAGUUUCAGGGAAGCUGGGAGAGCUUUGAGGAAUGGUGAGUUCUUACCGAUGAAGCGGCAGGCAUCGUUCUUGUACACAGAGGUGGCUCAGUUGUCCUCAGCUCUCUUUGGAGGAAGGUGGUUCAGCACUGGACUAUCUGCUUUGCUCAAAAGUCUUUUCAUCUCAGCCUGUUCUCAGGAAUUUCCCAGAAGUGAAGAGCAUUCUUUCCUAAUUUAUCCUCGACACAUGCUUCCCCUGUAUCCUUGGAACAUCACAGGCACGUUGAGCACAGUUUUUCAUUCAUGAGCAGGACAGCCCUGCAUGAUUGGCAUCAUCACGUCCUGUACUUUGGGCAGAGGAAGCUGAAUUCAGAGCUACUGGAAGCGGAACUGACUGACUGUGAGUCUCAGUUGCAUCUUCUGCCCGAUUCUAAAUCUUGUCUUUUCACUGUACCUGAAAUGUAGACUAUGUCGACAAAUUGUCAUGUAUUGAGCUCACUGAGAAGCUGGCUUUGAAAACCAGAUUGCCUAUCCCUCCCAUUUCAGAUUCAAGCACGUUGGCAGCAGUGACCUUCGAGACUGGUCUGGGAAUGGGCUGCCUCAUUGACUGAUUGCAGGGGUUGGGGGAAGAGCAAAUGAGCUCCAAAAUAAAAGCAUCAUGUCCUCAGGAACAGCCAUCGGGCAAACUGAGUCCCACAGCGCUUAAUGUUACCCAUCUCAUGACAUAAAGAGAAGCCGGAGCCACAAUGACUACCUCGACUUCCCCAGUCUGUGUCUGCUGGUUGCUGUGAGUGCCCUGGAUGAUGCCACCUCUGCUGUUGCUUUCUGUCCCUUCACUUGGAAGCCUCACCUGAGGGGACAGCCUGCUCUGCCCUAAACUUUCCACUUUGAUUUUCAGCUGUCUGCUUGAAAGGGGCUUCCACAGCCAACCUCUGCUGGUUGUUUUGGGCACCAGCUUUGGUGGUGUUUACUAUCUACCUGUCUGUAUAUCUGCUGUGUGCUAGUUAUUCUUUGACUUUGGUUUAACAA